AGGAGGCAAGGGCGUUGGUGGACGAAGAAGAGAACCUGUUCGCCUGAGCAGCGGAUCUCACGUUGUUUCGGAUACGUUGAUUCACAGAUCGGAUCAUGUAAUUCCACCGGCAUAGUCCCAAUUGGUCUUUGGAGGCCUCCACGGCUCCAAUGGUUGCUGCCACUAACCAUGCUUUGCUCCUUGAACUCAUCUUUUCUCUUUCUUUUUCUUCUUAAUUGGAAAGCUUUUAGCUUUGUGUUUUUUUUUGUUUGUAAAUUGCUUUGUGAAAGUUGUUGAUGAAGAAAGGUAAUUUCCUACAAGUCUGUUUAUAUAAUAGAGAGGAAGAGGAUUAGACAGAGUGCAAAACCAGACGCUGUCUCCCCUGGUUUCCCCAAGUUUUUGUCUUGUUGGUUUGGUGGAUUGAUUCAUAUAAUUAAUUACCAAUGUACCCACCUCAGAUCAUUUUGGAUAAGGGUCAACAUUGUCUUUUAAGAGAUUAUGAAUUAUCCGCAAGUGCAGGCAGCUGGUUUUGUUGUACUAUAUUUGGAAACCGUCUUGAACCUAAAAUAGUUAUAAUAAAAUCUCAAUUGAUUGAUUUGUCAUGACAAAAUUAAUUUUUAUCAGUUGUUAGGUUGAGCCCUUAGAGAAUCACGCAAGGAGCUUUAGCCCUUGGAGAGAACUUAGCGAGGCGAGGCAUAAAUAGCAACACCUCAUGUCGCCACUGCGGAGAACCAUAAACUGCAGCUCACGUCUUCUUACACUGUCCUUUUACUCGAUGAGUCUGGUCUGCACACAUCUGGACUUCUAACUUUAACCCAACGGAAUGCAACACUUUUGAAGAGGCCUUCUUACGUGCAGCUGAAGCUACUAACCUCCCACCGAUAGGAGUAACAGGACCUCUAUUCCCUUGGAUCUACUGGGAUAUUUGGACUGCUAGAAACUACAUGAUCUUUGAAAACAGGAUCCCUUCACCAGAUGAGAUCAUCUCGAAAGCCUUUCGAGCAGCAAGAGAGUGGAAUGCAGCGCAAUCAACUCCAGAACCAGGACCUUCAGCUCAGCGCCAGCGUACGCUACAACCAUCGUCGACCUCCACUUCAAUCGCUUGCUUCACUGAUGCGGCUUGGCAGGCGGGCACAAACAAAGCAGGCUGCAGAUGGAUCUUCCAGGACAGUUGCAAUGAAGGCCUAUGUCAGGGAACUAGGACCUUCUCCUACAUCUCAUCAGCGUUGAUGGCGGAAGCGAUUGCAGUCAGGUCAGCUCUUAUCAACGCCUGUGAAAUGGGUUUCUCCAAAAUCUGUAUCAAAUCAGAUUUUCAAGCACUAGUUGCUACUAUCAUCUCCUCGAAUCAGCACCCGGCGGAUCUCCACGGAAUCACUCGGGACAUCGAGCAUCUAUCUCUUUCCUUUGAUUGUAUCUCCUAUGUUUUUAUUUCCAGAAACUUGAACUUCGUGGCUGAUGCCCUCGUAAAAUCUGCUCUGUACUCUGUUUCUACCAACUAGUUUCGGUUGGUCUGCAUCUUUUAUGAUAUUCAGUGUUCAGAAAAAAAAAUCAGUUGUUAGGUUGAUUAUUUAACUAGCGUUUGCCAUUCUGGUCGGAUCUGGUUUGGUCAAAAAAAAUUAUAUUUUUAAGAAAACUUUAUUCAAAUAUAAAAUAAAAAUGUUUAAUUGAAAAUUGUAAAUUAAAAUAUUAUAGGUACAAAUAUCUUUUAUAUACUAAAGCGCAAAACGCAUGACAUAUAUCUUUUUAAAAAACUUAAUAAUUAAAAAUUAAAUUAAUUUUUAUUUUGGCAACAGAAAUUUAAAUCCUUAAAUUUUCUCAUCUCACGUUCAAAUUAACUUUCAAAUUACUGCAAAAAAUAUAUUAUAGCUACAAAUAUCUUUUAUAUACUAAAGCGCAAAACGCAUGACAUAUAUCUUUUUUAAAAACUUAAUAAUAAAAAAAAUUAAAUUAAUUUUUAUUUUGGCAACAUAAAUUUAAAUCCUUAAAUUUUCUCAUCUCACCUUCAAAUUAACUUUCAAAUUACUGCAAAAAAAAAUAACUUCAAACUUUUUUUUAGUAAAAUGUUAAAUUUAUAUUGAAUGAAACUGAGAGUUUAUGUACAAAGAAUCAUAAGAAUAAAUAUAUGCUUCUAACUCUAUACCAAUGAGCUAGUGUCCUUUGAACCAUCUUUGCAUCAGUCCUAGAAGCCUUGGUUUCUCAAAGUACCGAGUUGACAUAAUCCUAUUCCUGACCAUUUUCUCAAUGAGAGUAGUCAACUGGCCGUCCAGUUUCAACUUCCCAGUAUGCCUCCUAUCAUUUCUCUUCUUCCAAAGAUAGUAUAUAGAAGUUUGAAACACCAACCUCAGUAAUAUGAAUGUCAGUUUAUCAUAGUCGUGCUCUACCAGCCGGUUUAAUGUCAUCUCCCAAUUUGGAUCAGCAUUGACUCCCAGCAAGUCUCCCACUACUGCCAACCAUACAGUGAAGGUGUAAGGGCAAGCAAAGAAGAGGUGGUCUCUGGACUCAUUAGGCUCUCCACAAAACACACAUCCUUGUACUACUUCCCACUGUCUCAUUCUAACUCCAGUCGCAAGUGUAUCUCGAAUUGCUAACCAAGUAAUGAAGGCAAAACGAGGCGACCCUUGGACGAACCAUACCACUUUACUCCGAUUCUGCGUCUCUCUAUGCGGUUGUAUCUGCUCCCAUGUUUGGAAAGACGAGAACCUGCACUUAUACUCAUCCGACCCUGAUUUCUAUAGAACCAUGUCCUCCUUACCAACAACUAGUGCUUUGAAACUUCUAACACUCGUGAUUAUUUGCUGUAGAGUUUGGUCUCUGCAUCUUCGAAUCUGCCAACCAGAAGCAUUUGCAGCAUCAGCAACCUUGGUAUAUCGCCCAAUAUCAAGCCGUUGUGGACCACUAUCCCCCACUAUGUCAAUAAGUCGGCCCCCAGGAAGCCAGGGGUCCGACCAAAAUAGAGUUAUCUGCCCAUUUUUAAUUUGCAUUCUGAUGAAUUGAGCAGCCAGCGGCCUCAGCCUCAGGAGCUUCCUCCACACCCACGAUCCCUUAGCUGACUCCCUAAUGUCCCAUAAUGAAUCAUUGCUCCAUAAUUUUUCCUUGACCCAGGAUACCCAAAGAGAGCCUGACGUUGUGAAAAGCUUCCGGAUGAGUUUCAGUGCAAAAACCUUAGACAUAUCUGACAGUCGAUGAAGCCCUAGUCCACCUUCUUCACGCGGUGUACAGAAAUGAGGAGCACAUACUCUCAAUCUUAUCAAGGCAGCCUUUAGGUAGACAAAAAGUAGAGCUCCAGAAGUUGGAUUUGCUAUAUAUCACAGACUGAAUUAGUUAUAACCGGCCUGCAAAGGACAAGUAUUUGCUCGUCAAGAUUUGUAGCCUCUGCUUGAUCUUUUCAACCAGUGGCUCAUAGUCUUUACGAGUCAUAGUCUUAGUGGUGAGAUGUAACCCAAGGUAUUUAGCUGGUAGGGAGGAUACAGCGAGCCCUGACAAGGUCACCUCCUGCUCUAUUAAUUUGCUUCCACGACCCCCUGCAUACAAGGUUGACUUUGCUAUAUUUAUAGACAAGCUCGAUAUCCUUGCAAACCCCUCAAAAGCCCCCAUGGUGCCUCGCAGAGACUGUGGAGAACCAUCCAUGAAUACCAUAAUAUCAUCCGCAAAGCUGAGAUGAGAGAGCUUUACUUCUUUACAUUUCGGGUGGUAUCCAAUCUCCCUCUUUCCACUCCUUUGUUCAGCAUUAGUGAGAGUACAUUACUGAUGAUGACAUAUAAGUACGGGGACAAUGCACAUCCUUGUCUUACUACACGGGCACUCUGGAAGAACCCCUCUAACUCAACAUUCACUGAAACCGAGAAACCAGUCGUUUUUAUACAGCACAUGAUCAAGGCUAUAAAUUGAUCCGGGUAGUGCAUCGCCCGCAGCGUUGCUUCUAUGAACUCCCACUAGACGGAAUCAAACGCUUUGGAGAUAUCAAGUUUGAUAGCAGCUCGAGGGGUAAGUGUGGGAUUGUGAUAAUCCAUUACAAGCUCCAUCUCUAGUAGUACAUUUUCUAGCAGCAACCGACCUUCAACGAACGCACACUGAUUCAGUUCUAUAGCCGAUGGCAGAGGUACCAUUAAUCUCCUUGCUAUCAGUUUCGAUAUAGCCUUAUAGAUCACAUUGCAACAUGCAAUGGGCCUAUAAUCAGACAUAUGUUCCACAUCUUGGGAUUUUGGUACCAAAGCAAGGAGUGUUGCAUUGAUACUCUUUGGCAAGAACCCAUAUAGAAAAAAUGAUUGCACUGCCGUGACAAAGUCUGCACCGAUAAGAGGCCAUGCGGCUUUGUAGAACUCUAUUGGAUAUCCAUUAGGACCCGGGGCUUUGUUUGAUGGCAUUGAGAUAUAGGGUAUCCCGUAUCUCCUAAGCUUGGACCGGUCUAAUCAACAUAGCAGCAUCUUAUCUACUGCAUUUGUACUGCACUAGUCGAGAUAGAGCCUCCAGAUCAACCUCUGCAACCCCAUCUGGAACAUUCUGCAUAAAAUUUUGAAAGUGACAGGCUGCUUCUAUCUUGAUCAGAACCGGUUCAGUGAUCAUGUCCCCUCCUGCGGUAGUCAAUUUCCUUAUUGCAUUCCUGGAGUUCCUGCUCUGACUUAUAUUAUGGUAGAAACUGGUGUUGCGAUCUCCAAGUUUUAGCCACUGAAUCCUCGAUUUUUGGUAGAAAAACUGUUCCUCAAUUCCUGACAAAUGAUUCCAAUCAUUCCACUAACAAAUUCUCCAUAUCCAGAAUCGAGUUUUGAUUAAGAAGCAAAAACAACAACUCUGAUACCACAUGAUGUAGUGGAAGCUUUAUAAAAUAGAACUAAAGAUCCAUUGUUCUUAGAAUACCCAAAAAUCUAUAAUAAUACAAAGAUCUUAUUUAGGCCUAUUAUUAUACUUUAGGCCUAAAUAUAGAAAGAUGAUGGUAUUAUCAGUUUGCAACUGAUAUUUUGUAUAAGAUGAAAGUUAGGUUAGCGUGAUAUAUAUCAUUAGCUACUAAGAAAUAUCAAUGUUAAUGUUUUUCUAGACUACGAAAAACAAUUAGGCAGGUGCCAAAGCUUUUUCUUAAUCUUCAAUAUAAAUUUCAUAAUUCAAGUUCUAAAGAAUUAUGUUGCAAGGAAACAUAUUUGAUAUAUAAGUUUGUUUGGUAAUAACAAGAAAACUUAAUUUUUGUAUUACUCUUUAUAUAAAUUUAUGUAGGCAAGGAAGGCUUAAGAGCCAAACAAUAUUCUUCUUUUUUUCUUUUAUUAACAAAACAAUUUUGAAUAGAUGCGUCUCUUAAGAAAAUCAUUACUUUCCGAUUUAUAGCAAAAACAUGCAAUACUUAGGCCAUAAUAUAUAUAUCAAACUUUGAUUUAAAUUGUUGUCCAAGUAAUACGGACUAAAAGUAUAUCUUACAUUUUUUUAAAAAAGUUAUUAUGUAGGAUCACAAUAUAAAUCAACCUUGGACCAUUUAAAGAAAGUCUCAUUUAAUGAGAUCGCCGAAUAUUAAUUUAAUCAGAUCGCUGAGAAUUAAGUUUAUCAUAUCAUAUACAUUUAUGUUUGGGUUAAUAUAAGUUUUUCUAGUAAUUGGAUUUUGGACUUACUAAAUUUUCAAUUGAUUUUUAUGUUGUCACGUAAGUCAAAUUGACAUUCUAAUUAAAUGACACCUAAGAAAGACUAAUUUUUAAUUAAUACAAACUUGAUACAACUUUUCAAAUGUUUCUCUAUUAUAUACAUGGGACUAGAUGAUAACUCGCGCUCAUGCUCGGGGUGAGUUUUUUAUACUAAUGUUUUUAACAUUUUGUAUCACUACACUUUUUAUCGAUUGUAAAAUGACGAAUACAAAUGUUGAUCUCUUAAAUGUAUCAUCGUUGUUUAAGAGUUAACAUAUUACAACUCAUUUUAGUUAUUUUAAGACUUCAUAUGCACAAAAGAAAAUUAAGUUUUGUGUCUGAUACAAAUCACACAAACCAGAUAGGAAACAUCAAUUGUAAUAUGACAAAGGGGGAUUAGGUUUUCUGCUCUCGAUUUGUUUACUAUUGACUCUCCAUAAGUGAUUUGAUUUUCUACUUUUAUAAAAUUGUGGUUUUGUUCUUUUGUGCAUAUGAAUUAAAAUUGUGAUUUGUUUACAAUUGCUAUAUUUGAAUUAAAAAUAAUAUAAUUUCAAAAUAAUAUAUAUAGCACUGAUAUGAGUUUUGUUUUUUUUUUAACUUCUUCUGUGAAUUCAGUGAAUUACAUAAGUGUCAAUUUAAAAAGACGGACAUCUGUAAAAAUUAGUUCAACUCCACCUACAUAUCUAAGAAUCAAAAUUUUGAAGAAAAUCACCGGCAAACUCUACUCACAGGUUAGUUAUCAAAUCUAAUAUAUCAAGUUGUUAUAGAAUAUAAGUGCAGACUCUAAAUAUAUGUCUAGUAUAUAUUCACCGGUUCGUUCUAAAAAAUCAUCUAGUUCUAGAACAAUAAAUUACUUAUUUUAUUAACAUAUGCUUUUGAGGUUUACUUACUUAAGACUGUACCGAUAAAGAACUAUAUAUAAUACUUUACCAUUCUAGUAUAUGUAAACUAUGUAUAAACUAAAAAAAUGUUUGAUUUAUUAAAUGAUAAAUCAAAAAACUUAUAAUAAAUAGUUCAAAUCUCUCAUUCUCACAAUUAUAAUAGCAUAGGGUAUUAGGGAGAAACAAAUAUUAGAUGAAUGAUCAAAUCUCUCAUUCUUCGAACAAACUCAAACGGAGUUGAUUGGAAUCUUGUGAUCAUGAUAUUUCACUAAAAGAUUUUUAGGAAUAAAUAUUAAGACUAAAAUAUUUAAUCUAAAUGAAAUAAUAUAUAUAUAUAUAUAGUGCUUCCAAUAUUAAAAAUCACUUCGAUUUGGAGAAGUGUAUUUUUGGGAUUGUCAAGAUCAAAUAACAUAUUAGAAACCACCUAUUUAAAAAAUAAUGUGCAUACAUAAAAAUAUAUACAUUAGAGUAAGCACAUAAAUCAAAACUAAUAUCUUUUGUUUAUUUACAAUCAUUUUUUUUGGUAAAUAAAUAAAAAAAACAUUUUAUUUACUUUAUAUGAUAUACAUUUAAACUUUAGUGAUAUUGACACACACACACAUAUAUAUAUAUAUAUAUAUAUAUAUAUAUAUAUAUAUAUAUAUAUAUAUAUAUAUAUAUAUAUAUAUAUAUAUAUAUAUUUUAAUAUAUAUGUAGUAUAUUUUAGUAUAAAUAUUUAUUAUUGAUACUUUCUACUCAUAUGAUUUUAUUAACAUUUGUAUAUUUGUUGUAAAAAAAAUUUAAAAUGUUAAUCACAAAACUUUUAAAAUAACUGAACCUCUUUUUGGAGAGAGUACAAAUCACUCCUUAGGUUUGAUAUCACUAACAUCAAUGAUCGUAUCAAACACCCUGAUACGAGAUCCCAAAAUUUGUCUUUUGGCUAAUAGUCGAGUGUCUUAAGAAAUCCCGCAAGUUUAUGCUAUGCGGAAAAUAGAUCACAGGUUUAGAAGUUCACCUAGAGUUAGAUUACGAGAUGACAACUCAUAGUCUUCCCUCUUCACCCAUGUAAAUGCCCGAUUACCUCUACUCGACACGUAACUAGACCGUAAAGGUCUGACUGGAAAACAGGUUGUAAGAAUCUCAACUCCAGGACGAACUACAAAAGGCUUGAUCCCUUCGACAAUGGUACGUAGGCAGCCUUCACAAGGCGCAUCCCUAAUCUUAUCGCACUCCACUUUUAGUAGAGUGACCAGACCACUUCCAACCAUUAAAUCCGCCUAACUUACCUGACCUGCCUAACCGCUCCUAAGAACAUUGCAAAAAUUCUAGCAAGCUGUGGGGCUAACCUAAAAAUUCUAGCGAGCUGGGGGUCCACAAUCCUAAGUUCAAUGUUCUAGUUAGCUACUCUAGGACAAAAGCAUUAACCACAAUUCUUUGAAGGAUAUUUAUCACAUUAGCAAUUAUAUAUUUUGGGUUAAUCCCUCUUUAACCUAUUUGAACCUUAAAUCUAAGAAGUGAAUUACUCAGACAUAGAAAAUAAAUUCAUAAGCAUAAACUGAAUAAAAUUUAUAAAUAGAUUAAGGUUAGAAAUACUGGAGUUCCAAUACAAAUCUUUGAAGAAGUCUUGUAUCUUCUCUCCACAUCUAUUAAUGUAUAAGUUAAUGUGAUCAGUCUAUAUUUUUGUUCUGUGUUUUACUUUUUUACUUUUAUCUUAAGUGCACUUAAGUUUAUUUUUACUAGAUGUUAAUUUUUGGCCUGCAUAGAUUUGAUUGUACUCCUUUUUAUUUGUGUGGAUUGAUUCUUAAUUUUUUAUAUCACUAAAUUAUGUAAAAUUUACAAUGCAGUCACCAUGUAUCGCUAGCAUAUUUUUAAUUAACGUUGAUGUUGAUUAAAAUGAAAUUUUACUAGGUUAAUAUUGCAUCAUUUAUUGGAAUUGUUGUAAUAUAUUUGUUGAAAUAUACAGUAAUAUUGAAUAUUAAAUAUUUGUUAACAACGAUAAAAACUUGUUGCACAAUAAUUGUAUAUAUAUAAUAUGCGUCAAAUCAAACAAACACAAAUAUCAAUUUAACAUGUCAAAAGGAAGAACACAAUGGUAAAUUUUAAAUUUGAAAGUAGUUAGGAAACACAAUUCCAAAAAUGAGUGCACAUGAAACCACCACCGGUUGUAGGAACAGCAUAUUGUUCAUGACUUGUUACAUGUUUGUUGCAAAGCUUUUUGCAAGCUUUUUCACAAAUAGACAUAUCUGCUUGUUUGGCUACUUUCAUGCACUGAUUCGGGAUGCAGUGUUUGACACAUUUUUCAACAUUGGUUGAAAGACAAUUUUGUGCCGAAAACAUCACUGUACAUAUAGCUACAAUCAUGAAAAUAAUGCAUGAUUUUUUAAAAGUUUGAGUCGUCAUAAUGUAUAUUAUUAGAACAAAUAUGAAAUUCUAAUAUAGUUUAGUCUGAUUUUGAUCGUUGAUGGUGAAAUGAUGAUUUGUUGGUAAUCUCUUGGUAAUUUAUAUAGAAAGUUAAUGAUGACUAUUUUUAACAGUUUGUUUUUUUUUUUUUUCUGUUUUCUGUUUUGUUGUUUCUGUUUCUGUUUCUGUUUCUGUACUUUCUUAUGUUAGUUAUCUAUCCAGUCUUUUUUAUAACAAUAUAAAAUAUAUCAUAUAUAAUGAUUAUAGUUGUAUUUUAUAUGAUUUCAUAGUAUUUCAUUAAAUUUUAUGUCCAAAUUCGCAAAAUUAUGGUUUUAUUUUGAAAUCCUAAAACGACAAUUUUUUUAGAAACUAUAUUAUUUUAAAUUUGAAAAAUAUUUUUAGUUUUUUCCUCUUAUAUAUGAAAAAAAUGUAGAAUCAAAUCAUGAAAAAAUGGCUCUGAAUGCGAUUUCUUUGACUAUUUUUUCAGUUACUCUUUUCACUUCUUUUGCAUAGUAACAGCUGCGUUCACCACGGUUUCGGUUUUUUCUGGUUUUGGCCACUACAGCGAUCCGGUUUUUUGAUUUAUUUUUACUAGAUGUUAAUUUUUGGCCUGCAUAGAUUUGAUUGUACUCCUUUUUAUAUGUGUGGAUUGAUUCUUAAUUUUUUAUAUCACUAAAUUAUGUAAAAUUUACAAUGCAAUCACCAUUUAUCUCUAGCAUAUUUUUAAUUAGCGUUGAUGCUGAUUAAAAUAAAAUUUUACUAGGUUAAUAUUGCAUUGUUUAUUGGAAUUGUUGUGAUAUAUUUGUUGAAAUAUACAGUAAUAUUGAAUAUUAAAUGUUUGUUAACACCGAUAAAAACUUGUUGCACAAUAAUUGUAUAUAUAUAAUACGCGUCCGAUCAAACAAACACAAAUAUCAAUUUAACAUGUAAAAAGGAAGAACACAGUGGUAACUUUUAAAUUUGAAAGUAGUUAUGAAACACAAUUCCAAAUAUGGGUGCACAUGAAACCACUAUCGGUUGUAGGAACAACAUAUUGUUCAUGACUUGUUACAUGUUUGUUGCAAAGCUUUUUGCAAGCUUCUUCACAAAUAGACAUAUCUGCUUGUUUGACUAUUUUCAUACACUGAUUCGGGAUGUAGUGUUUGACACAUUUUUCAACAUUGGUUGAAAGACAAUUUUGUGCCGAAAACAUCACUGUACAUAUAGCUACAAUCAUGAAAAUAAUGCAUGAUGUUUUAAAAGUUUGAGUCGUCAUAAUGUAUAUUAUUAGAACAAAUAUGAAAUUCUAAUAUAGUUUAGUCUGAUUUUGAUCGUUGAUGGUGAAAUGAUGAUUUAUUGGUAAUCUCUUGGUAAUUUAUAUACAAAGUUAAUGAUGACUAUUUUUAACAGCUUGUUUUUUUUUUCUGUUUUAACGUAUAUAAACCGAAUAAGUUAUGUGAAACUUAUAUGUACUUUCUUAUGUUAGUUAUAUAUCCAGUCUUUCUAUAACAAUAUAAAAUAUAUCAUAUAUAAUGAUUAUAGUUGUAUUUUAUAUGAUUUCAUAGCAUUUCAUUAAUGUUUUAUGUCCAAACUCGCAAAAUUAUGGUUUUAUUUUGAAAUCCUAAAAUGACAAUUUUUUUAGAAACUAUAUUAUUUUAAAUUUAAAAAAUAUUUUUAGUUUUUGCCUCUAAUAUAUGAAAAAAAACUGUAGAAUCAAAUCAUGAAAAAAAUGGCUCUGAAUGCGAUUUCUUUGACUAUUUUUUCAGUUACUCUUUUCACUUCUUUUGUAUAGUAACAGCUGCGUUCACCACGGUUUCGGUUUUUUCUGGUUUUGACCACUACAGCGAUCCGGUUUUUUGGUCAAAGUUUAUUUUCACUAGAUGUUAAUUUUUGGCCUACAUAGAUUUGAUUGUACUCUUUUUUAUAUGUGUGGAUUGAUUCUUAAUUUUUUAUAUCACUAAAUUAUGUAAAAUUUACAAUGCAAUCACCAUUUAUCUCUAGCAUAUUUUUAAUUAGCGUUGAUGUUGAUUAAAAUGAAAUUUUACUAAGUUAAUAUUGCAUUGUUUAUUGGAAUUGUUGUGAUAUAUUUGUUGAAAUAUACAGUAAUAUUGAAUAUUAAAUGUUUGUUAACACCGAUAAAAACUUGUUGCACAAUAAUUGUAUAUAUAUAAUACGCGUCCGAUCAAACAAACACAAAUACCAAUCUAACUUGUAAAAAGGAAGAGCACAGUGGUAACUUUUAAAUUUGAAAGUAGUUAUCAAACACAAUUCCAAACAUGGGUGCACAUGAAACCACCACCGGUUGUAGGAACAGUGUAUUGUUCAUGACUUGUUACAUGUUUGUUGCAAAGCUUUUUGCAAGCUUCUUCACAAAUUGACAUAUCUGCUUGUUUGGCUACUUUCAUGCACUGAUUCGGGAUGCAGUGUUUGACACAUUUUUCAACAUUGGUUGAAAGACAAUUUUGUGCCGAAAACAUCACUGUACAUAUAGCUACAAUCAUGAAAAUAAUGCAUGAUUUUUUAAAAGUUUGAGUCGUCAUAAUGUAUAUUAUUAGAACAAAUAUGAAAUUCUAAUAUAGUUUAGUCUGAUUUUGAUCGUUGAUGGUGAAAUGAUGAUUUGUUGGUAAUCUCUUGGUAAUUUAUAUAGAAAGUUAAUGAUGACUAUUUUUAACAGCUUGUUUUUUUUUGUUUUUUUUCUGUUUCAACGUAUAUAAACCGAAUAAGUUAUGUGAAACUUAUCUGUACUUUCUUAUGUUAGUUAUAUAUCCAGUCUUUCUAUAACAAUAUAAAAUAUAUCAUAUAUAAUGAUUAUAGUUGUAUUUUAUAUGAUUUCAUAGUAUUUCAUUAAAUUUUAUGUCCAAACUCGCAAAAUUAUGGUUUUAUUUUGAAAUCCUAAAAUGACAAUUUUUUUAGAAACUAUAUUAUUUUAAAUUUUAAAAAUAUUUUUAGUUUUUUCCUCUAAUAUAUGAAAAAAAAACUGUAGAAUCAAAUCAUGAAAAAAAUGGCUCUGAAUGCGAUUUCUUUGACUAUUUUUUCAGUUACUCUUUUCACUUCUUUUGUAUAGUAACAGGUGCGUUCACCACGGUUUCGGUUUUUUCUGGUUUUGACCACUACAGCGAUCCGGUUUUUUGGUCAAAGUUUAUUUUCACUAGAUGUUAAUUUUUGGCCUGCAUAGAUUUGAUUGUACUCUUUUUUAUAUGUGUGGAUUGAUUCUUAAUUUUUUAUAUCACUAAAUUAUGUAAAAUUUACAAUGCAAUCACCAUUUAUCUCUAGCAUAUUUUUAAUUAGCGUUGAUGUUGAUUAAAAUGAAAUUUUACUAAGUUAAUAUUGCAUUGUUUAUUGGAAUUGUUGUGAUAUAUUUGUUGAAAUAUACAGUAAUAUUGAAUAUUAAAUGUUUGUUAACACCGAUAAAAACUUGUUGCACAAUAAUUGUAUAUAUAUAAUACGCGUCCGAUCAAACAAACACAAAUACCAAUCUAACUUGUAAAAAGGAAGAGCACAGUGGUAACUUUUAAAUUUGAAAGUAGUUAUCAAACAAAAUUCCAAACAUGGGUGCACAUGAAACCACCACCGGUUGUAGGAACAGCGUAUUGUUCAUGACUUGUUACAUGUUUGUUGCAAAGCUUUUUGCAAGCUUCUUCACAAAUUGACAUAUCUGCUUGUUUGGCUACUUUCAUGCACUGAUUCGGGAUGCAGUGUUUGACACAUUUUUCAACAUUGGUUGAAAGACAAUUUUGUGCCGAAAACAUCACUGUACAUAUAGCUACAAUCAUGAAAAUAAUGCAUGAUUUUUUAAAAGUUUGAGUCGUCAUAAUGUAUAUUAUUAGAACAAAUAUGAAAUUCUAAUAUAGUUUAGUCUGAUUUUGAUCGUUGAUGGUGAAAUGAUGAUUUGUUGGUAAUCUCUUGGUAAUUUAUAUAGAAAGUUAAUAAUGACUAUUUUUAACAGCUUGUUUUUUUUUUCUUUUCUGUUUUAACGUAUAUAAACCAAAUAAGUUAUGUGAAACUUAUCUGUACUUUCCUAUGUUAGUUAUCUAUCGAGUCUUUUUUAUAACAAUAUAAAAUAUAUCAUAUAUAAUGAUUAUAGUUGUAUUUUAUAUGAUUUCAUAGCAUUUCAUUAAUGUUUUAUGUCCAAACUCGCAAAAUUAUGGUUUAUUUUGAAAUCCUAAAAUGACAAUUUUUUUAGAAACUAUAUUAUUUUAAAUUUAAAAAAUAUUUUUAGUUUAUUCCUCUAAUAUAUGAAAAAAAACUGUAGAAUCAAAUCAUGAAAAAAAUGGCUCUGAAUGCGAUUUCUUUGACUAUUUUUUCAGUUACUCUUUUCACUUCUUUUGUAUAGUAACAGUUGCGUUCACCACGGUUUCGGUUUUUUUCUGGUUUUGAUCACUACAGCGAUCCGGUUUUUUGGUCAAAGUUUAUUUUCACUAGAUGUUAAUUUUUGGCCUGCAUAGAUUUGAUUGUACUCCUUUUUAUAUGUGUGGAUUGAUUCUUAAUUUUUUAUAUCACUAAAUUAUGUAAAAUUUACAAUGCAAUCACCAUUUAUCUUUAGCAUAUUUUUAAUUAGCGUUGAUGUUGAUUAAAAUGAAAUUUUACUAGGUUAAUAUUGCAUUGUUUAUUGGAAUUGUUAUGAUAUAUUUGUUGAAAUAUACAGUAAUAUUGAAUAUUAAAUGUUUGUUAACACCGAUAAAAACUUGUUGCACAAUAAUUGUAUAUAUAUAAUACGCGUCCGAUCAAACAAACACAAAUACCAAUUUAACAUGUAAAAAGGAAGAGCACAGUGGUAACUUUUAAAUUUGAAAGUAGUUAUCAAACACAAUUCCAAACAUGGGUGCACAUGAAACCACCACCGGUUGUAGGAACAGUGUAUUGUUCAUGACUUGUUACAUGUUUGUUGCAAAGCUUUUUGCAAGCUUCUUCACAAAUUGACAUAUCUGCUUGUUUGGCUACUUUCAUGCACUGAUUCGGGAUGCAGUGUUUGACACAUUUUUCAACAUUGGUUGAAAGACAAUUUUGUGCCGAAAACAUCACUGUACAUAUAGCUACAAUCAUGAAAAUAAUGCAUGAUUUUUUAAAAGUUUGAGUCGUCAUAAUGUAUAUUAUUAGAACAAAUAUGAAAUUCUAAUAUAGUUUAAUCUGAUUUUGAUCGUUGAUGGUGAAAUGAUGAUUUGUUGGUAAUCUCUUGGUAAUUUAUAUAGAAAGUUAAUGAUGACUAUUUUUAACAGCUUGUUUUUUUUUUGUUGUUUUUCUGUUUCAACGUAUAUAAACCGAAUAAGUUAUGUGAAACUUAUCUGUACUUUCUUAUGUUAGUUAUAUAUCCAGUCUUUCUAUAACAAUAAAAAAUAUAUCAUAUAUAAUGAUUAUAGUUGUAUUUUAUAUGAUUUCAUAGUAUUUCAUUAAAUUUUAUGUCCAAACUCGCAAAAUUAUGGUUUUAUUUUGAAAUCCUAAAAUGACAAUUUUUUUAGAAACUAUAUUAUUUUAAAUUUAAAAAAUAUUUUUAGUUUUUUCCUCUAAUAUAUGAAAAAAAACUGUAGAAUCAAAUCAUGAAAAAAAUGGCUCUGAAUGCGAUUUCUUUGACUAUUCUUUCAGUUACUCUUUUCACUUCUUUUGUAUAGUAACAGCUGCGUUCACCACAGUUUCGGUUUUUUCUGGUUUUGACCACUACAGCGAUCCGGUUUUUUGGUCAAAGUUUAUUUUCACUAGAUGUUAAUUUUUGGCCUGCAUAGAUUUGAUUGUACUCUUUUUUAUAUGUGUGGAUUGAUUCUUAAUUUUUUAUAUCACUAAAUUAUGUAAAAUUUACAAUGCAAUCACCAUUUAUCUCUAGCAUAUUUUUAAUUAGCGUUGAUGUUGAUUAAAAUGAAAUUUUACUAAGUUAAUAUUGCAUUGUUUAUUGGAAUUGUUGUGAUAUAUUUGUUGAAAUAUACAGUAAUAUUGAAUAUUAAAUGUUUGUUAACACCGAUAAAAACUUGUUGCACAAUAAUUGUAUAUAUAUAAUACGCGUCCGAUCAAACAAACACAAAUACCAAUUUAACAUAUAAAAAGGAAGAGCACAGUGGUAACUUUUAAAUUUGAAAGUAGUUAUCAAACACAAUUCCAAACAUGGGUGCACAUGAAACCACCACCGGUUGUAGGAACAGCGUAUUGUUCAUGACUUGUUACAUGUUUGUUGCAAAGCUUUUUGCAAGCUUCUUCACAAAUUGACAUAUCUGCUUGUUUGGCUACUUUCAUGCACUGAUUCGGGAUGCAGUGUUUGACACAUUUUUCAACAUUGGUUGAAAGACAAUUUUGUGCCGAAAACAUCACUGUACAUAUAGCUACAAUCAUGAAAAUAAUGCAUGAUUUUUUAAAAUUUUGAGUCGUCAUAAUGUAUAUUAUUAGAACAAAUAUGAAAUUCUAAUAUAGUUUAGUCUGAUUUUGAUCGUUGAUGGUGAAAUGAUGAUUUGUUGGUAAUCUCUUGGUAAUUUAUAUAGAAAGUUAAUGAUGACUAUUUUUAACAGCUUGUUUUUUUUUUCUGUUUUAACGUAUAUAAACCGAAUAAGUUAUGUGAAACUUAUAUGUACUUUCUUAUGUUAGUUAUAUAUCCAGUCUUUCUAUAACAAUAUAAAAUAUAUCAUAUAUAAUGAUUAUAGUUGUAUUUUAUAUGAUUUCAUAGUAUUUCAUUAAAGUUUUAUGUCUAAACUCGCAAGAUUAUAGUUUUAUUUUGAAAUCCUAAAAUGACAAUUUUUUUUAGAAACUAUAUUAUUUUAAAUUAGAAAAAUAUUUUUAGUUUUUCCCUCUAAUAUAUGAAAAAAAACUGUAGAAUCAAAUCAUGAAAAAACGGCUCUGAAUGCAAUUUCUUUGACUAUUUUUUCAGUUACUCUUUUCACUUCUUUUGCAUAGUAACAACUGCGUUCACCACAGUUUCUGUUUUUUCUGGGUUUAACCACUACAGCGAUCCGUUUUUUUGGUCAAGAAGAAUUUAUAACCCCUUUAUAUCCUCUAUAUAUUAAUAGAUAAACAUUUAAAAAUUUAUAACAUGUACUUUGUAUUAAUUAAAAAAAUGUCAUGGUGAGUUAUCAUGUAACUAGAAUGUUAAUUUUAAUUACAUGGCGACUUGAGAAUCAAUUGAGAAUUUUGUUAGUACAAAAUUAAAAUGCUAGAGAAUUUUAUAUUAUAUAGUAUAUUCAUUAUGGACCACUCAUUUAUCAAAUUGAGUUCUUUCUUUAAAUAAAACUUACGAAAUUACCUAUUGUGAUUAAGAUAUAUAUGGCAAUUAAUGGUUUUAAAUAAUAAAUAUUUGCUGUCAAUCUGAUAUUUUCUAUCAUUUUUGUUUAGUUAUUAUUAAAAUAAAUUACAUAAUUACAUUAAUCAUAAAAUAAAAAUUUAGAUUUUUUGUAUAUGUUGUAUUUUAAAUUUUUCAGAACGAGUAUAGAUUACUUAAAUUGUUAAAAGUCUCACAUAAAUUUUUGUGAUCAAAGUUUGUCCAAAAAAAAAAAAACUUUUGUGAUCAAGGUUUAAAUUUUUUUCUAUAAUAAGAUACAAUUAUUACAAAAUCAUAUGAAUAAAUAUAUUUAUUUUAACUGGUGUUUAUGUUAAUAUAUAUAUAUAUAUAUCAUUUAAUUUAAAAUAUAUACAUCAUAUUAAAAUACAUACUUAUAUUUUGAUUUUUACGUUGAACAUAUAUUGAAAAAAUAUUUUAAUUUUGAAAUGUUCAUUGUUUUUUAAAAUGAUUAUAAAUUACUAAAACCACUAAACAUUCCACAUUUUGCGAAUAAACAAGAGCGAUCGUUUGAUUUAUAUGUGCACGCCAAUUUAUUACAUAAUAGUAACUGAUUUCUUAGUCAUUUAAUAUAUAACUAUUAUUAUUUUAUUUUAUAAUAUGCAAAAAACAUAAAAUAAGCAAUAAAUAUAAAAUAUUUAUUCUGCUCAAGACGCAGAUCUUAACUUAAGUAUGUAUCUCUUUAAUAAUUUUAAAUCUUAAAAUAACGAAAUGAGAAUAAAUUUAAAAAAUCAAUCUUUAUAGCUAGCAAUAACCAAAAUGAAAAAAUGACACAAAAAUGAUAAAAAGAAUAUUGAGGAUAUUUUGGUUUGGCACGUGAAUGUAAACUUCUCAUAACCAUAAUUAACUUUUAAGUUGCUAAAUCUUUUCUUUUUGACAGCAAACAAAACAUUUACAUACUCAUAUUGACUUUGUAAACCAAUUCGGUAACAUCGCAUCCAUGAGAACGACGAAAGACGGUUGUUUCCUAGCACUACAUGUUAAGCUAUCCGCCCAUAGGUUCUCCGUCCGUGGUACAUGAACGAUGUCUGAGUUGAGGAAACUUUUUUUUAAAAGCUUAAUGUCUUCCAACUAAUUUUCAAAUGCUGGCUAUUCUUCUGGUUCCGAAACCAUCUAUACCAAUUGAAAACAAUCCGUUGCAAACGUCACCUGAAACUGUCUUAAAUUCUUCAUACAUUUCAUUGCCCAAAUUAAAUCCUCCACCUCCGAAUGAAGGGGUGAGAGACAUGCCUUUACAUUCUUUGCUCCUAAUAAACCAUCAAAACCCGGUAAAAUGCUAUACCAACCUUGCCCUGAAAAUAAAUCUUUAUCUUUCCAUGAUCCAUCUAUGAAGCACCAUCGUCCUGGCGUUGCUAAUGUAGAAGUGGUAUGUACCUGAUGCCCCCUCAUUGGAUCAUUUAUUACAUGUGCCUCAGCCCAGAGUGAUGAGUCCAAUUAUGCUAAUUUGAGUGUUUACCUUGGAUCAAUAUCCAGAUUGCUAAAAACGUUGUUAUUCUGGCCUUUCCAUAUAUACCAUAAUAUCCAUGUAAAUUGGAGGCCGUCCAUCUUUGGAUUAACUCUCCAGAAAAGAUGAUCCAUAUUAGCAAAAAGAGAACUGAUAGGAAAAAUAUUAGGAUGCGAUGGUAUCUUAGAUAAUACCCAUACUUGACGUGCUGGAGGACAUUCAAAAAACACAUGAUUUAUUGAUUCCUCCGGAUCUCCGCAUCGGACACAUAUAUCCCCUUGUAUCCCUCUUGAUUUUAGAUUUUAAAUUGCUAAAUCAUGAUAUAAAACUGAGCUCUCAUAUGUUUAUUGUAACCAAAUAGUAGGUCUCAGAUUCUUCGGCCUAAACGUUAGGUUCUUAUUUGAUAAAUAAUUUUUUAACCUAAAUUAUUUUUAAAGUGAGAUCAGCUCAUUAGUAAACAAAUUAUAUAAUUAACAAAAAAAAUUUAAAAAUUAUUUAAGGGCCAAAAAUAUUUAUUUGAUCAAGAAUAUAAAUUUUCUUUUUUCCAUACGAUAUUUCUUAAAUAAUUUUUAUAUAAAUUCGUCAUGCGCAAGGCGCAUGUCUUAUCCUAGUACCUGUUUAAAUGCGGAAAAAAUCCCAAGCUUUGAACUUUGAUUAGAAACCUGAACGCUUAAGAAAUCAGGUGUUCUGAGGUCAAUACCCCAUCGAUGAGACUGCACCUUAAGCUCUUAAGUGAGAUAAUUGGUGGUGAUUUUGGAUUUCUCUUAUGAGUAGUGGGCUGGAAAUGGUUAGGUUUCGGAGAUGGCGACGGCCAGAACGCUUCGAGCAUCCAAACGCAUCGGUACGGAAUGGGACAGAAUGCCGGGACGCAUCAGGACGGGGCGGACCUUGGUUUUCUUCGACGGACAGUUAAGACGCUGGUAAGGCAUUCUCCUUGCUUCGUAGUUUGUUUCCCCAAGGCUACAAAGAGAUUGGAGUUUUCCAUUCUAAGAACUUGUCGUUUCGUUUUGAGGACUUAUACGAAACUUCUUGUUACAAGAGACACUUUCUGGGAUUUUUUGGUCGUUGAUUCCAUCGUGACCGAUUUUGACCCCAACAAUAAUCGUCUAGCUUUACUUCGAAAACUACAAAUCUGUUGUGUAAUCUUAGAGUCUCUAUGAAUUCGAUCCUUAAGUAUUACAACUGGACCUCUUAUUUGAUAGAGUACAAAUCACUCCUUAGAGUAAUUUCAGUAAUAUCACUAACAUCAAUGAUCGCACCGGCUGUGGCCAAGAACAGUCUACAUAUAAUAUUUUUUUUUCUUAUAAGUUAUAUUUUGAUUUUUUAAACGACUAUAAUACUAAAAAUGGUAAAAGUCCACAUUGAAAAUUUUGUGAUCAAUGGUUUAACUUUUUUUUUGUUCAAGAAAGAUACAAAUGAUCACAAAUCGUAUGAAUACGAAGUCUCAUUAAUAGAUAUUUAUAAUAUAUAUAUAUAUAAAUUAGUAUCAUUUAAAUUAAAUUAUAUACUAUAUAAAAAUAUAAAAUAUGUUAGUUUCAAAAUUUGCAUUGAAAAGUUAUUGAGAUCUUAAUAUUUUAAUUUUGAAAUUUUUAUUGACAAAUCUCACAUUAAAAGUUUUUUUUUUCAAAACCAAAUGGUAUUCGCCUAGUGGUAAAGGGCUCACAGCUGUGAGUACCACCCAGGGUUCGAUUCUCCUUGGCCACCCGGAGCGCCUUAAGUGGUAAGAAAAUGCGGAUCCUGCGGGCCUCGUGGUGAUUAGUCAUUGGGCCUAAAAAGCCUUUGAGAUCACACAACUGUUAUAAAAAAACAUUAAAAGUUUUGUGAAUAAGAGUUAAAAUUUUUGUUAUAACAAAUAUACAAAUGUUAAUAAAAUCAUAUGAGUAGAAAGUGUCAAUAGUAAAUAUUUAUAUUAAAAUAUACUAUAUAUAUAUAUAUAUGUCAAUAUCACUAAAGUUUAAAUGUAUACCAUAUAAAGUAAAUAAAAUGAUUUUUUGAUUUAUUUACCAAAAAAUGAUUGUAAAUAAAUAAAAGAUAUUGGUUUUGAUUUAUGUGCUUACUCUAAUGUAUAUACUUUUAUGUAUACAAAUUAUUUUUUAAAUAGGUGGUUUCUAAUAUGUUAUUUGAUCUUGAUAAUCCCAAAAAUACACUUCUCUAAAUAAAAGAAAGUUAAACAAAAAGCAGAUAGGAUACAAUAACUGUUAUCAAAUAUGUAUUAUUCAUAAUCAUUAAUUGUCAUAUAUAUGUUAUCCAUAUUAGGUAAUUUCGUGGCUUUUAUUUAAGGAAAAAAUUGAAUAUAUUCUUUUGUACACUAAUAAUUAAUUUGAUAUUUAGUUUACUAUAAAGUAUAAUAUAUAUUUGUAUGGACCAACUUAUUUUUCUAAGGAUUCUAAGAAUCAUCCUAGUGAUAACACAUGGUUACGAAAACAUAUUGUAAUGCUCCAGGAUUAAUAUAUACUAGGUUUACCGCGCGGGAUGAACAUUAUAUAUAUUAUUUUUAUGUAUUAUAAGUUUUCAACAUAUUUAUGAAAUAAUAAAUAUAUAUUGAAUAAUGAAAAAGUCAGUAACUAUUACAUAUACAAUUAAAUUUGUGUGAACACAUAAAUAAAUUUCUUUAAUCCAAACAAUCACUUUUUCUAUUUAUAUGGUAUAUAUUUAAAUUUAAAUGACAUUAACAUAUAUAUAUAUAUAUAUAUAUAGUGUAUUCUUAAUAUUGAUAUAUAUUACUCAUAUAAUUUUUUUGAUCUUUUGUAUAUUUUUAUAACGUAAACUUUAAAUCAUUGAUAACAACUUUUUCAUUGUGGGAUUAAUAGUUUUAGUAAUUUAUAAUUUUUUUUAAAAAAUUAAGGCUAAGUUUAAAAAUUAAAUACUAAGUUGUCAAUAUUUUUCCAAAGCUUUUACCAAAACCUUUUAUAUUUAACGAAAAUUUUGAAAUUAAAAUAUUUUUGUAUUUUAUAUGGUAUAUAUUUUAAUUUAAACGAUAUAUAUAUUAUGCUUAAUAUUUAUUAAAUGAGACUUCUUACUUAUAUGAUUUGUAAUCAUUUGUAUCUUAUCAUAACAAAAAAUUUAAACCAAGAAUCACAAAAAUUUGAAGGUGAGAUUUUUAACAUUUUUAGUAAUUUACGGUCGUUUAAAAAAUAAAAAAUAUAACAUAUACAGAAAAAUUUAGAUUUUAUCAUAUGGUUAAUGUAGUUGUUUAAUUUAUUUUAUUAAUUUAAAAUUAAAUAAAUAUGGUAGAGAAUACACUAAUUUUUUAAAAAUCUUUAUUAUUCAAAAUCAUUAAUUUUCAUAUAUAUACUUUUGCUAUAUUAGGCAAUUUCGUAAUUUUUAUUUAAAGAAUUAAUGAAAAUCAUUAAUAAUAAAUUUAUGGUUAGUUUAAUAAAAAACUUAUUAUAUAAUUAGAUAGACCAACAUAUUUUUCUAAGGAUUCUAAAAGUCAUUGUGGUGAUGACACAUGGCUACCUUAAAUGUUGUAAUAUUUCUCUUUUAGUAUAUAGGGAAUAAGAUUACAAAGUUGCUAAAGAUGUUAUAACAUUUUCUCAUUAUUAACUUUUAACUAUGCAAAUACUUGGUACAACAAGGACUUACUAAUCUUUUUUAUUUCGAUUUAUUAACCUAACAGACACUUUAUGUGACAACUCAUCCCGCUCACUCGGAAUCCGGCUUACAGCCUUGUAGGGCACCGACCCCAACUCCUCCAUUAUGAGUUCUUUCUGACUCCAUAAUUAGGUUGUUGGUGGGUCUCGAACUCAGGACCUCACAAUUUAACUACUUUAUAUCCAUCUCGGGGCUUGAACGACGUAUAAUGUAUGGCAAAAUAGGUCAGCAGGAUCUUCACAUAAUGGUUAAAGGAACACACAUAGACCAAAGUGGGUUUAAUAUUUUGUGAUUGAAUAUAUAUUUUGGAUACAAACAUAUAAUAUAUAUAUAUAUAUUUUUUUUUUUUUUUUGAAAAUAUUUUUUUUGGUUAAUUUUUAUUAUAUUAAAUUAUUAAUAAUUAUCAAGUAUAAUAAAUAAAUCUAAAUAGAUUAAUAAACUAUAGCUUGUCCUUAUCAAUGUUUAGGUCUAUAUUAAUGUGUUUUACAUAUAUUAUAUAUUUAUUUAUAUUGUUAAUAUAUAAUUUUUUAGAUAUAUGAUAAAUUAUAUAUAAUGAUUCAUUAAUGGUAUUUACGACCUUAACCAUUUUUAACGUGAGAGUUCGGAAGCAAAAAAAUACUUCGCAGUUAAUAGUGUAGAUAUAUAUAUAUAAGACAACGAUUUCCUUACAUGUAUUCCUUCUCGAACGCAUACCGUCGAUUGUUGUAUUGAGGCUUAAGAAUGACACAAAGAAGGCCAUCAUAUAAUAUAUUAAACGCAUAUAACAGCAAUUCACUCCUCUGACUCACUCAUCACUCAUUUUUUGUUAUUAUUUACGACAAGACGAACAAGAAUCCAAGCAAGAAAGAAUAAAUAUUAUCAAGCAAUUUGGUGAAUGCACUUUCAGUUUCUAUCUUUAGAUAUAUAUAUAGUAGAUAAAAAGUGAUAAAGAUAAUUUUGAUCAUCCAAUCGAAAUUUUGAUAACUUUUUCCAAGGAAACAUAUCUUUUUAUUUUGUAUUUUCCGUUUUUUUUUGUAACUACUUUUGUAAUUUCCUUAUCUUUUGUAAAAAGUUAUAACUUUAUAUUCUAAAACCCAGUUAACUAAUAUCAAAUCAUUAUUUAAUUUCUUACAAAAAAUAAAUGAUUCAUAAUAAAACAACUAUAUAUAUAUACCCAAACAAUCUUAUGGAAAAUAACUAUAUUUCUAAACACAGUUAGCUAUAUAGUUAAUUUUAAUGAGGAUCAUAUAUAUUAGAUAAAAUCUGAUAAAAUAUAUUCAAUCAAAUAUAUCCAUUUAAUAUUUUAUAUAUUUUACCAAUAUAUAUUUAUAUGUUAUGUAUCUUAAUAUUAAAACAUAAUUAAAUAAUAAAAAAUACUGUUAUAAUAUUAAAUAAGUAAAUUAUUUUUGUUAAAAUAUCUGUAGUAUAAGAACCAGAAAAAGAUCUUGACACAUUAAUAUUUAUCUUUUUUUUUCUAUAUAAUAGUUUUUGGUUUCAGAAAAUAGUGGUUCUUCUUUGAUACUCUUUGGUAAAGAAGCACAAGGCGGUAGUUGUGGCUAUUGCUCAGAAUUGUUUGGUAAAUUGAUGUCAUGGUCCUGCAAGAGCUGUUACAUGUCGCCUUGUGCGCUCGGAACUGCACAACCCCCCCCCCCCCCCCCCCCCAAAAUGAAUUCUUUUAACGAGUUUCCAAAUGGGUCUCUUCCUCGGAGUAUAUGGUCGGUAGACAAUGGUAACUAGUGCUGAUACCUCAAAAAUAUCAAAUUAUUGACCUAUUUUAUUGGAUUUGUGUAGAAAAUGAUUAGCAUUUAUACCCUUGUGGUUGCUUAUGAUCGGCGGAUCCCGCUAGGGCCUCGAUGAAAUCGGUUAAGUAACCCAUGGUUCGUGCUUCGGCUUUCGUGUUGGGUCUCAUAUAUGGGUCUCUCUCCUCUCUCUCUCUCUCUCUCUCUCUCUCUCCUCUCUCUCUCUCUCUCUCUCUCUCUCUCUCUCUCUCUCUCUCUCUCUCUCUCUCUCCUCUCUCUCUCUUCUUGUCUUAUGUUUGUCAGAAUAAUUUUUCCGUGAAUUGAGAGAGAUUCUGGGACACACAUGAACUGUUGUUGAUGUCAAGAGAUGGUUUCAAUCAUAGAACAAUGGAAAAUUGUAGAUUUCAAAUUGAAUCAAUGGGAACAUAUAUGUGAUAUAGUUCCAAGUUUCGUUUAUUUAUGUUUCGAAUCAUUGUAUAGUUGGAGACCUUAGUUUUGUUUAGGUCUGCCUAUUUUGAAAAGGCUAGUGAUUAAGCUGAGUUUUGUAUCUCAUUAAUCAACUGGUUGAUCAUACUCUGCUUAAUGCUUACUCGAAUUUUCUUAUUGAUUCAACUUUGUUUUACUAUUGCUACGUAACUAUUUGCCUCUCUCUCUUUUCUUUUGAAUUAUAAGUUGUAAUUAGAUACUGGCAAUAAGUGCACUAAGAGCAUUGCCCCGCUGCUACAUGUCCGGUUGCGUCUUCUCUUUUAUCUGUGAGCAUUUGAUAUUUCCGUCUUGGAGAUUUUUUUUGGUUCGUAGUUGUAUCUCUUAUCUUUUUUUGAUGUGAUUUCAUGACUUCAUGAGUGAGAUAUUAACAAAUUCUUUUUAACAUAUUGUAGAUUAAGAAAAACUCUCAGAUGAAGGUCGAAGCCAAGGCUCAUCACUAAACAUCAAAUUCAAAAUACAAAAAUGAAGCCAAGUGAACGUGUUAUCUCUGCAAAUGUAGCUCUUCCUCGGUGACAUCUUUUAGUUAUUCUGUCUUUUUCAUUUCUCGUAGAAGAACAAAACCUUGUCUGAGGAAAACAAUAGCCAUUCCUUGGGUUGACGUGGAAGCAGCGGAUCGAGUUCGGGAUUAAGAUCAGGAUUAUCCUCAAUAGCCACUGUUUGGGUCACUCUAUGAGCUCUGUAUUGGACAAUCUUCCAAAACAUAAUAGUUUUGAAGAACUUCAAAAUGAGUCCUCAUCUUUGGGUUUCGUGAUUGGUGAACACCAUGCCUAUGGAGAAUAACGCGUCCGAAAUCCCAUAAACAUCAAGUUUUCUAUUAAAUUUCCUGAGAGUUGUGAAAUAUCCGAGAAACAUCAUUACUCUCCAUAGUUUCCUAAAUAUCCGCUGAGCCCAACAAUGCCUCGACUUUGUCGUCUAAGAAACCCACUAAUAAAGACAUGAGCCACUGGAAUCCGACCAAUUGGAUUCCAUGGUUGUGUCGCCUUGGUGGCUCUUCUUGGUUUGCGUCGUAGACCAAUGCGACAUAGAUCACCGGAGCUAUUAAUAACAUAAUAGACAUGAAAACACAUCCCAAGAAUAUAAACCAACGUGCUUUUGUUAACAUGUAGAUAAAAGAACUAUCAAAUUUGAAGACAUGACAAAUUAUUACAUUUUAAAGAAUAGUAUAGAAAUAUGUCUCAAAUAGUAUGGUACAUGUAUAUAAAGCUACAUUAAAGAAUGUAUACUAUACUAUUUUUUCAUUGAAUAUAGUAUAUAUGGUGAGUUCAUCUUCUUCAAUUCAUUUUUUGACAGGCUGAUACACAUUCACUUGAAUCGCCGUCAUUAUUCUUAACCACCAUAUAGAGAUCAUCUUCAUCUCCUCUCUCUUUUUCGACACGGCGACACUAUUACCGAUCUGCCGUCGUUAUUCUUCACCACUAUAUAUGUAAAGCAUCAUGGAUAUAACCCUGAUGCGGUAAUCUCAAUCUCAUUUGCAAGAUUCAAAAAUGAAAACAGAGUAUGAAAGCAAAAGCAUGAUUAUGAAACUAAAAAUCAAUGAGUUAAGAGAAGGAGAAAAAUAAAUGAAAGAGUUGGUGUGUUUACUCAUCGUAUACGCCUUAAGAGUUGUCUCUUAUUUACCACAAUUGGUUGUCUUUCUUGUGAGAAGAAAUUAAUUCCAAAAUAAAUCUGGGAAGAAGACUUUCAUCUUUUGCAAAGUCACCAAAAUAAAUUAUAUAUAAAAAUGUGUGUUUUUCAAAGGGCCACGAGUUAUUUUUCAAUAUUAUUAUCAUUAAAUCAAUUUAUUUUUUUUCUUACAGGUUUCACCAGUUGCAUAUGAGGACAAUAUGGAAUAUUAUAUAUAUAAGAGGCAAGUUGUAUAGGUGAGUUAGGGGUUUUAGAUAGUGAAUGAAUUAUAAUUUGUUUGAAAGUUAUAUAGCCCAAUUCUCCUUAAUUUAAUUAACAACGUGCUUUUGUUAACACGUAGAGAAAUUAAAAUUUAGCAGAUGAAUAUUUAUGAUAUUAUUUUUUAUUUUAAAUCAGAUAGUCGUGAUUUUUUAGUUUGUCUUUUGGUGUUGUUUAGCUUGUAUUAAAUUAGUCUGCUAUGAGUGUUCUUCGUAACUCCUGUAAAUUGUUUUUGAAAAUGGUGUUAAUAUUUAACAUUUUAUCCAAAAAAACAAUUAUAGUACGACAAACUUAUAAAUCUGGUGCUUACGAAUCUACGAUCCCAAUAACUAUAGUUGUUUCAGACAAGUGGUUUGCCACAGUUUCAGCGUUCAUGUAACUGGUUUUUAAGUUUGGACCACGAGCACCGCCCACAUUCAACUCAAGUGGGGUUUUUUUGGGUUACUUUUUACUCUAUUUUUAUCUCCUUUCUCUAGUUGAAGUUUUUAACUAGAAUUAAAACAUUUCUUAAAAAUUUAACCAAUUCACAUCUAUUGAGUAAAAAUACCUUUUUUGCAUCAUCAUAAUAUUUUCUACACCGUUACCAUUUACCAUAUAAUUACAAAGUUGCUAAAGAUGUUAAUAACAUUUUCUCAUUAUUAACUUUUAUCGAUUCAAAUCCUUUUUUAAAAAACUUAAGUUUCCAUUGAUUAGCUCCCAAAAAGGGUAUUUUACAACAAGACAUUACAUCUCAAACUUGAUUAAAUUGGUACAACAAUGCCUUGUAGUCGGGUUGUGUUUAGCAACCCCGGACCAGACAUCAACUUCACCACUCAGCUUGUUAAUCCAUGUUUGGUGCUGUCGCAACCAAUCUCGCCUUUUAAAUGUAAUGCUGCCAGUAUGAAGGUCGCAAUGGAGGAAGGGAUUAAUGACAUACCUAGAAGCCAUAUCCCUCAGAAAUUGGGUUUGCGGAGGAAGCAGUCCUGUCAAGUUGGGAGAGUACCUGCAUAAAAGAAGGAAACAUCCUGGCUUGCAACCAUUAGACCGCGAAGCCACUGGGAUGGAUGAGCCCAAAAUAUGCCACCACCGAUGGAAGACACUGAUGACUCCGACGACCCGCAGAGCAGGACCAGCCUCCAUACGUAUUCUUACUCUAAGAACUAGAGUAAGUUCUUUUAUUGAAAGCAGAACAAAGAAGUCUCCGACGGUAGAGAACGGAGCCAACACACCACUGAGCACCCAUACUCGAAACCAAGACCAGAAUAUGCGCACAUCCCGGUGGAGGAACACCACCAUACAGGACCAUGGGAGAGGGCGGCAAAGGACAUAGGGAUUGAUGGAGAGCCGACGCCUGAGAGCCAUUUCCCGAAUGCCGGAACAGGACCAUACCUCCAAACGUAACAAACGAUUCAAAUACUUGUUACAACAGGGACUUAUUAACCUUUUUUGGACUUAUUAGCCUAACAGACACUUUAACCACUGUAUAUCCAUCAUGGGGCUUGAACAACGUCUAACGUAUGGCAAAAUAGGUCAGCAGGAUCUUCACAUAAUGGUUAAAGGAACAAACAUAGACCAAACAUCAGAGUCAAGAAUGCUUGCGAGUUAUUACUCCUUGGGGAUUGCUAGAUGUGAGAGUGUAAUUAAGAAGGUGGAUUAAUAAGGGAAAAAUAAAACAGAUGCUAUAAUUAUCAAAACACAAACGCCAAUGAUGACAUGAAGUCAUAACUGCUUCUUUAAUUCAAUAUACAUUGCUGGAGUUCCUACUGAUCCUAACUGUCCGUUCUGUGUGUGACUAACGUCUUUGACUUCCCAAACAUUAUAGAGCAUGCUAUUACCGAAUUAAAAGCUCGACUUGAUGCGAAACCACUUAGUCAAAAAGAAUGGAUCAUGGAAGCUAUAUCUUGAGAUGUACAUAAAUAUUUUUUUUUAUAUUCAUCUCUGCAAUCUGUACAAGUAUCAUUUGUGCUUUGUACAAUUCAAAUCUGUUAAAAAACCCCAAAACUUAUAGCGUUUAAUUUAGGAUUUUGAUUUCACAGCUCCGCCAAAUAGAUACAACCUGUCGGAUCCAAUCGACGGCAAAGCAAAAGUAAAAAUCUGAAUUAAUCUGUCUUCAUCAAUUAGGACCCCAACAGCUCAAGUACAUGACGGUCCUGAGAGACUCCUCAGCUUGCUUUGCCUUGUCACAAUCCUUGCAGGAGGCAAGGGCGGUCGUGGACGAAGAAGAGAACCUGUUCGCCUGAGCAGCGGAUCUCACGUUGUUUCGGAUACGUUGAUUCACCGAUCGGAUCAUGUAAUUCCACCUGCAUAGUCCUAAUUGGUCUUUCGAGGCCUCCACGGCUCCGAUGGUUGCUGCCACUAACCAUGCUUUGCUUCUUGAACUCAUCUUUUCUCUUUCUUUUUCUUCUUUUGGGUCAAAUUGGAGAAAUAAGAGAAACUCUUGCUUUGUUUUUUGUUUGUAAAAAGGAGAAUUGAUUUGUGAAAGUUGUUGAUGAAAGAAGAUGAGAUUCCAUGGGUUCUAUUUAUAUAAUAGAGAGCACCAGAGGAUAAGAGUUUUAGCCGCUUGUUAGUGUGCAAAACCAGACGCUGUCUCCCCUUGUUUUCCCCAAGUUUUUGUCUUGUUGGUUUGGUGAAUUGCUAGUUAUUACCAUUGUGCCCAUAGUCUCCUAAGAGAUCCGCAAGUGUAGCUAUGCGCACUUGGUUUUUAUGUAUUACAUUUGUUGCUUGUGCUUUACCUGAAAAACAAAUUCACUGAUAACUCCUUCGAUUGAUUUCUUUUUUUUUUGAAACUAAUCUAUUUGAAUGAUUUUGUAAAACUAAUCCUUCGCUUGAUCUUUUUUAAACUAAUCCUUCUAUUGUUUUCAGUUUGUAACCAAUCCUUCGAUAUGUCAUUUGAUUACACUAUAAAAGAUUCAAUAUUACAAAGAUUUACGGUUUUUAUCAAAUAUUUCCUAAUGUAAUCACAUAUUCGGCCGGAACACACAAAACCGUAAAUCUGCUCGCGAAGAACAAAGGUCAUCAGUUUUCGGCGUUUUCUCGAGUUGUGGCAAGGUAGAAGGAGUGCUUGCAUAAAGGAGACUCGACUUUUAGGACUGAAAACUUUUGUCAGAUUUAAUCUUUUUAAAAAAAAAGAUUCUGACGAUUUUCUUACGACGACAGUUUGUGACGGCGUGAUGAGCCUCAUCUAUGGAUCUACCUUCUUCCAAGGCUGGGAGAUCACUAUCUUGUUCGGGAGUGACCACUCAACCUCGUCUAGGAAAGUCCUCGACGGUUUAUGUUUGAAGAGGAGCUUGCAUGUGUUCUCUGUCUUCGUGUGUCAGUGGGGGUCUUCUGACUAUGGCGCGUGUAGUCUACUCGUCUGAUGGGAGCAGCCUUCGUCUUUGAGCAAAUGUUGUUUAGACGAAUAGCUUCAACUUCUCUGUUUUUCUCCAGUCAUAGUAUUUCCAUCUCAGUACAAUCUAGGAGACAAUGCAUUGGUGAUUAGAGUGUAGAAGGUUCUUAACAUCCCUAUGUAUAAACGUGAUUAAAAAAUCCUCUGAAGAGUGAUGGGAAUACAAGAGGCUUGUUCACCUGUUUUCGGCGGCACACAUUCAAGGUCUAUAACUCAAGAAGUGGUUAAAUGAGGUGUCAUCUUUGGUGAUGGUUUGUGGUGGAUUUUAAAAUCCUAACGUUGGAUUGGGUAUUUUGAACCAACUGAUGGUUUGAAUCCACACUCUUAAAGGUUGUGGACUAGGAGAAUGGGUAAUGCAAUUUAUGUCAAAGUCCAAAUUUUCCUUCUCUCAGUUUUAGAUCUUGUCUCUUGUAACAGUGUAGUUUAAGAGAAGAUUCAUUUAUUCCAAGUAUGGUUGAAUGAAAUAAUCUCAUUGGAGUCUUUGGUUUGAGUACACGUUAGGUUGAUAAGGUAGUGUAGGUAGCCCUCAAGUUCACCUAGAUGAUACUACUUCGAGCUUGUAUGUGUAGUCAAUCCGUGAUGUGUAGAUGAUCGUGUGUAAAUAAAUGUUGGGAAAUAUAAGUUGAUGUUGAGCCAAAUUUGACGUGAGGUUGGCAAGGCAUAGAAGGCAGUAGGGGUUGGCUCUUAGGGUUUGUGGAGGAGUUCUCUUUUUUCAGUUUAGGUUUGGUCUUCUCUUAGAGAAUGCGGCGCACAGUGAAAGAGUGACGACAGAUCUGUGAGUCUGGGUUUCGUGAAGAGAAGCUUUUGUUUUAGGGUCACAGUCACGACCUCGGUGUCUUGGUAUGACAGUUCCAACUAAUCAACGGCAUGUGAGCUUUAGAGGGUUCAUAUACUUCGUUGACGCGUUUUCUAGUGGCUUACCAAAAUGUGUUAUCGCUGCUAGCAACGGCGCAUGAAGAAAGGAAGAGUGGUUCAUAAGUGUGGUCGUCUAUGUCCAUCUCGUAACCGUUUGGGCAAUCUUUAUCCCCAUUGAUCUUCCUUACUAGGCAUCAAUUCCUGUUUCUAGUUGAAGUAGUGUUAGAUAUCUUUACUGGUGGUGAGCUUUUCGUUUGUUUGGUGUUAAUUAGCCUCUGACUGUCACCAAAAAAAAAUUUAGGUGAGGCAAAGGCUGUCCAUCUUCCGGUUCUUGAGAUGGUGAAAAUGGCGAAGAGGAUGAUGUAUUGAGGUGGUAUGUGGGUUUUAAUCUUAUUUUGGUGACUUCAUUUUGUUGAAGAACCACAUCCCGUGGACGUUGGUGGAUCAUUUGAUUAGUUGUGGUGCUGCUGCUUCUUUUUGUUCCUUUGUGAGGUCUUUAGAGAUCUUCUAACUAUUGGUGCACCACCUUUUCGAACCUGGUCUAUUUUUUUUUCUUGAUGCGAGGAUAGGUGGACAUGACGUUCAUCAAAAGUAUGGGCGACUUAUUCCCCAAUCUUCUUCACAUAUUUAAAAGUUUCAGAUCCCAAUAUCGGUUACAUGUUGGAGGAGUUGACUGGGAGCCAGCUACUCCAGGGGGAAGGUGAACCAUGAUGUUUCAAGAAUCUUCGGUUUGAAACAUUUGGAAAUACGGGAAACUAUGUUUAUUUCACCUUUUCGGACUAUGUAUCCCUCAGUUGAAACGACAAACAACUUUUGGAGGAACUUUAGCUAUUUGACGAAUGUGUGGCUUAGAUUUGUAAAGGGAAGUCAUAUAAGUUUUUAGUAAAACCGGUUAUUUGGUUUGAAUCAACAUUGUAAUUAGUACCAGAAUCUCAUUUCCAAACCGGUUAAUGAAUAAAAAUAUCUAUUUAAAAGUAGAAGAUAAAGAUAUAAGAAGAUGAUAAAUGAAGAGAAUAUAAUAAAGAGAGAAAGAACAUGAUUCAUAGAAGGAAGAAAAAUAAUUGUAUUUUGAUUAGUUCUUUGGGAAAUAAAAAUGGCCAAUGCCUUACAUAUAAUGUUUUCAACUAAAUCGAUACUUAAAACAUUAAACUGAAAAAUAAGAUCAACCAAGAAAUCGAUAAGUGAGAAACUGAAUUGUAUUUUACGUAACAUAACAAUUCUAAUAUUGUGCGCUUACAUUUAACUUUUGGUCUUACGAAUCUACGAUCUGAAUCGUCUUACCUUUAUCAAGUCUUUAGAUCUAAAGAAAGAGAACUAUCAACUGAUAUAUCAUGAAUAGCAUGUUCUUUUUUUGAUGGUUAGGAAGAGCUUCUAGUCAUAGUUUUAAUUAGUUGCAGUAAGUAGAGUGUAACAAUGAAUCAUCAGUUUUGUAAAUGAUUUAUGUCUAAUUAAAUCGAUUAGAUAGCCUUCUGAGGCAUGACAUUGUUACAUACAAGUACGAUGAUAAUGGUAACAUUUAUCUACGUAAGAAAAAUUGGCCAUAUGCUUAAGCGGACAAAGCUUCCAGAUUUUCUCAGCGACCUGAUUUGGGUUUUGUUAAGAAAAUCCACUGAUAUAUAUUUUAAAACUUGAACCCCAACAAAUCAGAAACAUGACUGUCCGGAGAAUUUGUAACGACGGACUUCUUGAAUAUUUUCAAUUUCAUCAGAAAAAGCUCGAGUGGUUUUUCUACAGCAGAGAUCCCCUAUAUAUUAAUUGAGAAACAUUUAAAAAGUUAUAACUUGUAGUUUGUAUUAAUUAAAAAUUAUCAUACUGAAUUUUCACGUAAUUAGAAUGCUAAUUUGCUUACAUGACGGCUUGGGUAUCAAUGAAUAAUUUUGUUAGUCCAAAAUUAAAUCGUUAGAGAAUGUUAUAUUAUAUAGUAUGUCUAUUAUGAACCAUUCAUUUAUCAAACUGAAACAUUAUAUAUUUUUCCUUAAAUAAAACCUACGGAAUUACCUAAUCUGAUUAAGAUACAUAUGGCAAUUAAUGAUUUUAAAUAAUAAAGAUUUGUUAACAUUCUGUAUAUUUUCUAUCAUUUUGUUUAAUUAUUUAUUAUUAAAAUAAAUUACACAAUUACUUUAAUAAUAUAAUAAGAACUUUGAUUUUUUUUUGUAUAUGGUGUAUUUUGAAUUUUUCAAAACGAGUAUAAAUUACUAAAACUAUUAAAAGUCUCACAUAAACUUUUGCGAUCAAGGUUUAAUUUUUUUCUAUAAUAAGAUACAAUGCUUAUAAAAUCAUAUGUAUAAAUAAUAUUAUUUUAAUAGGUUUUUAUGUAUACAUCAUAUGAAAAUACAUACUUAUAUUUUGAUAUCUGCAUUGACUAUAUAUUGAAAAGUUAAUAUUUUAAUUUUGAAAUCUUAAUUGUUAUUUAAAUGAUUACAAAUUAUUGAAACCACUAAACAUUCCAGAUUAAAAAAAAUCGUUGGUGUAAAAUUUUGUUAUACAAAUAUGCAAAUAUGCAAAUAAUAAUAAAAUCAUAUGAGUAGAAACCUCAUUUAAUAAAUAUCUAUAUUAAAAUUAUAUUAUAUCUCUAUGUUAAUAUCAUUUAAAUUUAAUUAGAUAUCAUAUAUGAUAUAUAAGAUUGAUUGUUUUGAUUUAUUUAUCCUAAAUGAUUGUGAAUAAACAAGAGCGGUCGUUUGAUUUAUAUAGGCACACCAAUUUUAUUACAUAAUAGUAACUGAUUUCUUAGUAAUUUAAUAUAUAAUUAUUAUUUUAUUAUUUCAUAAUAUGCAGAAAAAUAUAAAAUAAUGAAAAUAAAAUAUUUAUUCUGCACAAGGCGUAUAUCUUAACCUGAGUAUGUAUCUUUUUAAUAAUUUUAAAUCAUAUACAUUUUCUAAAUAUCAGGCCAAAACAAAAUAACGAAAUAAGAAUAAACUCAAAAAUCAAUAUUUAUAUCGAGCAAUAACCAAAAUAAGAAAAAUAUUGAAGAUAGAUAAGAUUGACAGGUGAACAUAAACUUCUCAUAACAAUAAUUAACUUUUAAAUUGUUAAAUCAUGAUUUAAAACGGAGCUGGCAUAGUUUCAUUGUAACGAAAUAGUAUGUCUGAGAUUUUUCAGCCUAAACGUUAGGUUCUUAUACGAUAAGUGAUUCUUUACUUAAAAUAUUUUUAAAAAUGUGAUCAGCUCAUCAGUAAACAAAAUUAUGUAAUUAACAAAAAAUUUUAAAAAAAAUUGUAUAAGGGCCAAAAAUAUUAAUCCGAUCAAGAAUAUAAAUUUUAUUUUUCCAAACGAUGUUUCUUAAAUAAUUUUCAUAUAAAUUUAUUCUGUGCAAGGUGAAUGUUUUAUCCUAGUUUAUUUUAUAAGUGUUGAAAUAUGUGUAGUCUUUGAAAGUUGGGACAAAUAACCUAUUUUUUAAUUAAGUGUCGGACGUUCAGUGAGCAUUUGGAACGAUUGUAGAUCUGGCUGAAUGAUGGUAAACUGAUCAUGACGAUUGUAGAUCUGGCUGAAUGAUGGUAAACUGAUCAUGAAAUGAUCGGUAAACUGAUCAUCGAAUAAUCUUAUAUACGGAUUUGUGUGGUCUCAUUUCUAAAAAAAUAAAAAACAAAUGAGUCUUAGGGAAAGAAACAAAGAGAAAACAGUUCUAAAAAGAGAAGUUCAAGCAGAAGAAACAAACGAGUUAUUCAAAUCUUAUCAAAAUAAAAUGACCUAGAAUUAAAAAUCCAUUGAUGUUAAUGUUACUAUAAUUUAUCUUGUGUGACAUAUGUCUUUAAACUUCCCGAGCAAGUUAUUACCGAAUGUAAAGCUUGGCUUGACGGGAAACCUCUUAGAAAUUCAAUUUAGGAAGAGCAUAUAGUCAAGCUCGAUAUCAACAACAGUGGAAAAGUAUGAUGUGUUAAACGAAUGGAUCAUAGAAAGCUCUAUAUUUUCCAGUAACAUGCAGGAUUUACAUUAACUCUUAUAAUCAUCCCUGAAUUCUGUACAAGUAUCAUUUUGCCUUAUACAGUUCGAAUCCGUUAUUUGAUUGCAUCCCGAAAGAACCCAUCAAAACCCCAAAAACUCAUAGCGUCUAUUUAGGAUUUUGAUUUCAUAGCUCCCGCCACAUAGAUACAACCUGUCGGAUCCAAUCGACCGCAAAGCAAAAGUAAAAAUCUGAAUUAAUCUGUCUUCAUCAAUUAGGACCCCAACAGCUCAAGUACAUGACGGUCCUGAGAGACUCCUCAGCUUGCUUUGCCUUGUCACAAUCCUUGCAGGAGGCAAGGGCGGUCGUGGACGAAGAAGAGAACCUGUUCGCCUGAGCAGCGGAUCUCACGUUGUUUCGGAUACGUUGAUUCACCGAUCGGAUCAUGUAAUUCCACCUGCAUAGUCCUAAUUGGUCUUUCGAGGCCUCCACGGCUCCGAUGGUUGCUGCCACUAACCAUGCUUUGCUUCUUGAACUCAUCUUUUCUCUUUCUUUUUCUUCUUUUGGGUCAAAUUGGAGAAAUAAGAGAAAC
rnacentral:lncRNA from 1 species